UGGGGAAUUUUGGACAAUGGGCGCAAGCCUGAUCCAGCCAUACCGCGUGAGUGAAGAAGGCCUUCGGGUUGUAAAGCUCUUUCAGACGGAAAGAAACGGUUACGGCUAAUACCCGUGACUAAUGACGGUACCGUAAGAAGAAGCACCGGCUAACUACGUGCCAGCAGCCGCGGUAAUACGUAGGGUGCGAGCGUUAAUCGGAAUUACUGGGCGUAAAGCGUGCGCAGGCGGUUUGGUAAGACAGAUGUGAAAUCCCCGGGCUUAACCUGGGAACUGCAUUCGAGACUGCAUUGCUGGAGUACGGAAGAGGAGGGCGGAAUUCCCGGUGUAGCGGUGAAAUGCGUAGAUAUCGGGAGGAACAUCAGUGGCGAAGGCGGCCCUCUGGUCCAGUACUGACACUCAAGUGCGAAAGCGUGGGGAGCAAACAGGAUUAGAUACC
rnacentral:rRNA from 1 species